rnacentral:rRNA from 1 species
CUGUCUUAUUUAUAAAAAUUGAAUUUGACUUUUGAGUGAAAAGGCUUAAAUAUAAGAAAGGGACGAUAAGACCCUAUAAAACUUUAUAUAAAGUGAAUUUUUUAUUAUAAUUAUUUGUUUAGUAUUAAAUAGUUGAUUAAUAUUUUAUUGGGGCGAUAGGAAUAUAAAUAUAUAACUGUUCUUUUAUUAAAACAAAUAUUAUUGUUUAGCAUGAUCCUUGGUAGAGAUUGAAAGGUAAAGUUACUUUAGGGAUAACAGCGUAAUUUUUUUUGAGAGUUCUUAUCGACAAAAAAGAUUGCGACCUCGAUGUUGAAUUAAAAUUUCUUUAUGGUGCAGGAGCUAUAGAAGAGAGUCUGUUCGACUUUUAAAUUUUUA